rnacentral:rRNA from 1 species
GACAGAGGGUGCAAACGUUGUUCGGAAUUACUGGGCGUAAAGCGCGUGUAGGCUGCUCUGUGUGUCGGAUGUGAAAGCCCCGGGCUCAACCUGGGAACCGCGCUUGAGACUGGCACGCUCGAGUUCGGGAGAGGAUGGUGGAAUUCCCAGUGUAGAGGUGAAAUUCGUAGAUAUUGGGAAGAACACCGAUGGCGAAGGCAGCCAUCUGGACCGACACUGACGCUGAGGCGCGAAAGCGUGGGGAGCAAACAAG